UACGUAGGGUGCGAGCGUUGUCCGGAAUUAUUGGGCGUAAAGCGCGCGCAGGCGGUCCCUUAAGUCUGAUGUGAAAGCCCACGGCUCAACCGUGGAGGGUCAUUGGAAACUGGGGGACUUGAGUACAGAAGAGGAAAGCGGAAUUCCACGUGUAGCGGUGAAAUGCGUAGAGAUGUGGAGGAACACCAGUGGCGAAGGCGGCUUUCUGGUCUGUAACUGACGCUGAGGCGCGAAAGCGUGGGGAGCAAACAGG
rnacentral:rRNA from 1 species